GAAUAUCCAGGCACUCUGGCUCUGUGUGUGUGUGUAUAUGUGUGUGUGUGUGCAUGUGUGCAUGUGUGUGUGCAUGUGCAUGUGCGUGUGUGUGUGUGUGUGUCUGAAUUUUGUGCACACAAAGCCCCUCUAAUAGCUCAAGGGGAGCCCUCGAGAGAGAGUGGCAGGCACAGGCUGUUAGAAGCAAAGACACAGAGGAGCCAAGGAGGAGCUCACAGAAAUGGAGUCAUCUCCAGCCUCCUACCUAGUGAUGCCCUUGGCAUUGCCUGGUGCACUGGGCCAUACAUUAUCCUGCUCAAAAUUCAUGUACUUCUUAGAACCUGAGAAUGUGACCUUUGGAAAUAGGGUAACUGCAGAUGAAAUUAGCUAAGACGAGGCCAUACUGAUGCAGGGUAGGCCCUUAAUCCAAUAUGACAAUAAGAUGAGGAGAAGAAGACACAG
rnacentral:lncRNA from 10 species